CUGCGGUGCCAUUUCUCUCAGAUGCCUGGCUUACUGAGAGACUGAACGCUGUGGGAAUUCACCAUAAUUUGCAGUUGCAAUGCUUGUGCCAAAUUUAUAAAUUGGAAGGUUCAGAAAUGAGCUCCUCUCAUUCAGAAAAGCCAUGCCAAUUACAGUUUGAGUUAAACUUUGCUGGGCAAAGUUUUUCUUCUUUAUUUACCCAUUUGAGGCACACCCUACCUUUCUCUAGAAGCUCAAAGCAAAGUAUGUACCACUUCCUCCCCCAUUAGCCAUUCCCAACAUUUUCUGCUACUCUUCCCCCUUUCAAAAUUAAUCGGGGAGGAGAUUAACUAGCAACAGAGAAAACAGAUUAACUAGCAGCAGAUGAUAGGCGGUUGAUCUUUAAGUUCUUUCUCUGACCUUGGCAGCAAAGAGGAGGUUUAUUCAGUUUUAAUUUUCUGUUUGAAUAUACCAAGCCAGGAGGAAGCAACAGUUAAAAAGACUCAGCAGCAUUUCUAAGAGCACAAUGGAGGAUCCAGAGCCAUCGUGCCAUCAGGAACAGUGAGAAUUUUCUCUGCUUCCAGCUGAUGCUCCUCCUAAAUAGCCCCCAAUCACACUAGGAUCAAGCUUUAAAGGGAAUGCCAUUUCAUCAUAGGCUCAACUGAGACUAGUGGUGCCCAAAGUGCAGGAUGCUUUUUUUCAACCAAGUAAUUCUUCUAAGCUGAAAGGAAGGCUCUUCUACAAAGUGGGAAGGUGGAAGAAAGAAGUCACGAGGGGGAAAAAUCCCCCAUCAUUUAAAAGGGCCGCAGCUAUUUGUUUUCUCUGAAAAACUAACUAUGGCUUGAAGAACCUUUGGGAUAUGGUAGCAUCACGACUUGCUUCUGGAUAAGGGAAUAUACAAGGUGGUCCUCGAUUUAUGACCACAAUUGAGCCCAAAAUUUCCAUUGCUAAGCAAAACAGUUGUUAAGAACUGACAGAACGGAGUUUUGGAGUACAUGGAUUAUCUCGGACUGGAGUCAGACUUCCACCCUCUAUGGAGGCAAUAGGAAUAUUUAUUCCCGCAAAAUAGUAAACAAGUAACAGUUUCAAAAUUGGCAUUUUUGUCACUUUUAGACCUCAGAUAACCUAAUAGGAUUCAAGAAAAUGGGAGAAGGAAACAAUAUUUUUUUUCAGUUUCCUGUUAAAAAAUAUAGCUCACAGAAUCGACUUCUAAAACCCUGUACUUCCAAAGAAGAUGAUAGAGUACCUGGAGCAGCAGUUACCCUGGGUGACUCCUUUGGCGCUCGCAUCUUUCCCCCCCCCUAUCGUCUGGAUAAAAUCAAGUCUCCUCGAUGUAUGCAGUUACAAGUCAAAACCAUAUACAUUCUUUUAACAUGAUUAUUAUCUGCAUAAAUCACCAAUCCUCCUUUCUUUCUUUUAAUGAAAUUGCUCAGGCUGUAUUUUCUUGAGCUUAGAUAGAGAUGGGAGAUAAGAGACAUCACAAGCACCCUAGCACACACGCUCACAAAGGCAUUGAUUUUGCUUUCAUUUUUUUUUUUUGAACGGGGGAGGACGGGAAACAAAAACGGGGGAGGGGAGAAAUGAGUGUAAAGAGGUGCUGAAGAAAUAAAACACUGCU